CACUUGUGUGAUUGUCAGGUCUUAACUCUUAAGGCUUCAAAUUUGACAUCCGAGGAUCUAACUAUGACCGUUCUUGCUCCAGCCUCCUUUACCUCACCCCCAUCUGUGUUAUCCUUGAAUUCUUAUCCAACAACGCCAAGGAGCCCAUUUCUUGGUUUUUCUGCCUUUGCCGGGAAAGCAAGUAGAGAGAGGCAUGCUAGUGCAAUGCAGAGACUUGGCUCAAUGCCCACUGUAUCAGAGAGUCAGAAACAGAAUGGUGAUGCUAGGACUAGGUCUACUUCUUUUGAUGAGCAGUUGCCUCCAAUAGCUAAUUUCAUUCCAACUUCUGCUUUGGAAUGUACUCAUCUCUGGCUGCAGGUAGAGUACCAUUAGGACGUGUUCCUGCUCAAUCUACGGCUACCAUUAAGAUGGAGCUACUUCCGUUGACUGAAGGCAUAAUAACACUGGACAGUUUACGGAUUGAUGUCAAGGAGAAAGGUCGUACGUACAUCCCGGAGCGCUCACCGAUGAUAAAUGCGACUACUAGCAUCUCC